rnacentral:lncRNA from 1 species
UCAUCACCGUUCUCGUUUAGUGUUUGAUCUGGUAUGAAGACUCACCUGAGCAUAUUCAUGUACUUAUUGUGUUUCAAGACAUUAUUUACUGUGUUAAGAGUUUGAUAAGAACCUGAAUUGAUGGAACAAACUCGUUUACCUAAGAAGAGUAAACUCAAUGGAAAUGAGUGAAUUUUAUUGAAUUGAACGUAAACUGUGACUCCAACAAACCAGAGCAUUCGAGAGGCUCUGUACUCUCCUACCAGACUCCUGAUUUUUCUCUGCUGUUACCUGCCCCUCCCCUUUACAUUUAUUGACAAUUUCCCUGACUGACUCACUACUCUCCCCCCUAACAAAAUAACAGAAUAACAACUGCAUGCUUAAUUAAUUCGAGAGGCCCUUACUCCUUUUUGUGUAUUUAAAAAUCACUGGGGGUCUAUUAAUACCCCCCCUUCAAAAUCCACCUUGUCCUUAAGGUGGAAGUUUGGAAAUUGCUGGCGGAUGUUUUCAACUGACUCCCAGGUGGCUUCGUAGUCUGAAGAGUUCUUCCACUUGAUCAGAACUUCAGGACCCAAGGCUGAACUUGCUGAAUUAGAACAGAAUUGUAACACUCUCUCCAGUUCCACUCUGCUCGAGGUCUCCACAGCAAGGUGUUCUGGUAAUUCUGAAACAGUUUGAGUAUUCCCGACAGCCUUCCUGAGCUGCGACACAUGAAAAACCGGGUGGAUAGCUGACUCCGGUGGAAGUUUCAAUUUGUAAGCAACCUGCCCCACUUUGGCCUGAACUUCAAAAGGCCCAUAAUAUUUGGGAGAAAGUUUUGCUGAUGAUCUCUGAGCCACAGACUUCUGACGGUAAGGAUGCAAUUUCAAAUAUACCAAGUCCCCAACUUUCAACUAGAGAUCACGGCGAUGCCCAUCGCUUCUUGCUUCAUUCGUUGUUGGGCGCGCAAAAGUUGCAUCUUGAGGUGCUGGAGGACUUCAUCCCUGCUGACCAAGGAUUGUUCUAUUGAGGAAACUACAGUCAUUCCCUUCUGAAAAGGCAUAACCGGCGGAGGAUCAAAACCUUACACAAUCUGAAGGGGAGUCUGCUUCAAGGCGGUGUGAAAAGAAGUAUUAUACCAAAAUUCUGCCCACGGUAACCACUGCCCCCAUGAUCGUGGCUUACUUGAAGUAAAACAACGCAAGUAUGUCUCCAAACACCGAUUGACGACCUCCGUUUGGUCGUCGAUUUGUGGAUGGUAGGCUGUACUCCUUUUAAGGACUGUCCCCUGAGCCCGAAAAAGCUCCUUCCAGAACUUACUCGUAAAAACUCGAUCCCUGUCUGACACAAUAGACUGUGGAAUUCCAUGCAACUUAACAACUUCUCGUAUGAAGACUUUAGCCACUACUCGAGCUAUCCGUUUGUAAGUUUUGAGAAAUCCCGAAUGACCACCGAUUCUCGAGUCGUGAUAUUCCUGUAGGACCUUCUCAAUGAAUGGGGAUGAUUUCGGUAACACUAAUCUGCUUUGUAACACAAAGUCCCAUCCACCACCGAAUAGCAGUUUGGUCCCCUCCACUUGAUUGUAUGUGGGCAAUGAUUUUGCUUAACUCUUUGUCCCUUGCUAUUGCUGUUUUUACCUCAUCCACUUCUAACACCCGGGGCCUUGAUAUUUCCAGAAAACUCACUAUGGGUCCCAUUCUUGAGAGGGCAUCUGCAGCUCUGUUUUUCAUACCGGGCCGAUAUUGAAUUUCAAAGUCAAAGCCAAGGAGUUUAGUCAACCAUUUCUGAUGUUCUUUACAAACUAAGCGCUGCUCCAGAAGAAAUUUCAAACUUCGCUGAUCAGUCCUUACUAUAAAAUGUCUGCCCAGUAAAUAGUGCCGCCACUUCUGAGAGGAAAACACUAUGGCCAUCAAUUCCCGCUCAUAAACUGAUUUGUGUCUAGCACUCAACGGAAGCACCUGGCUGAAGUAGGCAAUGGGAUGCUGUCCUUGCAUUAAAACAGCCCCCAACCCGUGGCCCGAUGCAUCGGUUUCCACCACAAAUGCUUGGGAGAAGUCGGGUAAGGCAAGAACGGGCAUUUCAGUCAUUGCUGUCUUCAGUUUGCAGAAGGCAUCCUCUGCCACCUCACUCCAGUUAAACCCGUCCUUUUUCAACAAUUCGGUAAGUGGCCAAGCAAUCACCGCAUAUCCUUUUACAAAACGUCGAUAGUAGUCGGUAAGCCCCAAAAAUCAACUUAGCUCCCGAAGGUUCCGAGGCGAUGGCCAGCUGCACAUUGCCUUUAUCUUAGACUUAUCCGCUGAUACUCCUUGUCCCGAUAUUAUAUGGCCCAAGUAUUCCAAUUGAGGCUGUCCAAAAGUGCACUUCUUCUCAUUUACGUAUAGCUUGUGUUGCUGUAAGCAUUCCAAAACAAUGUCCAGAUGUUCCUGAUGCUCCCUCAACGAAGCACUGUACACUAAGAUGUCAUCAAAAAAGACCAGAACAAACUUUCUGAGAUAGGGUCGAAAGACCUCAUUCAUCAAACUUUGGAAUGUUGCCGACGCAUUUGUCAGCCCAAACGGCAUGACAAGGAAUUCGUAGUGGCCUUCAUGAGUACGGAAAGCCGUCUUUGGCACAUCAUCCGGUUUCAUUCUUAUCUGAUGGUACCCCGAUUUAAGAUCCAGCUUUGAAAAGAUGGCUGCCCCAUGAAGUUCGUCCACCAAUUCAUCGAUCACUGGUAUAGGAAAUCUAUCAGGGACGGUGACCUUGUUCAACGCUCGGUAGUCUACACAAAAACGCCAGCUCCCAUCUUUCUUUUUUACCAACAAAAUUGGGCUAGAGAAUGGGCAGCAACUGAGUUGGAUUAUCCCAGCCUCCAGCAUGUUUCGCACCAAUUUCUCAAUUUCAUUCUUCUGGAAACUCGGAUAACGAUAUAGCCUAACGUUAACCGGGACUGCCCCCACCUGGAGCACAAUCCCAUGGUCAUGGGAUCGUGAUGGGGGAAGCUCAUUAGGCCACUCGAAGACUUGGUGAUGCCGCCGCAAUACUUCAGUAAGCUCGUCAGGGCCCUUGCUCACUUUCUCUUCGUUUCCCAAACUCAUACUUCCCAGCUCCAACAAUACCCCUUGGUCACCCUCUUUGAAGUUUCUGAAUAUCGACUUAAUAGAGACCUGGGUCUUCUGCAGGUUAGUUUCUCCCUGCAGUAACACCUCACGCCCAUCGACCUUAAAUUUCAUCGUCAACCUCCCCCAAUCCACCUGCAUUUGUCUCAAUGUUCCCAACAUCAGACUUUCAAGUUUUUUGUUUGUCUUAGUAGGACAAACUUAGCAACCUAGUUCCAACUAGACUGAAUGCAUAGAGUUGCAGAAGAGGUUUCAAUGACAAAUUCUGGACAAUUCUAAAUUUGCAAUUCAGAUUAUUAUAUUUUUUAGACAAAGAUGAAAAUUUUUUGAGUAGUAAUAUCAUUCCAAGGUAUUUUGUUUUUCAUUUUUUUAAUCUCUAGUUAUAUUUUAUUUAUAACUUUUCAAGAUUGCAAAUUGAUGGAUACACUGUUUUAUUAUUGCUUCUGAUUAUGUCUUUCUAUAGGUGGUUUGGAAUACAGCUGAAUCCUCAAUUCAUUGGCAUGGACCUCAAGUAUGUAUCCAUUUUGUAAAAACUGGAGUUUCUUCUGUUUUGAGAGUUUGAGUCUCCUUCUUCAUAUGCAUGGGCAAUCAUAGUGUGUUCACUUUGCUUGUCUAAUUUGCAACUUAAUAUUUGAAAACCUCAUUAGAUAUCAGAUAAUGACUGCAUUUAACUUAGGUGGAAACACUCCCCAUUCCUUUGGAGGAAACAACUUGUUAUGGACCAUUCCAUUUUCCAUUUUAUUCAAAAAUAUAUUUCACCACUGCUGUCAGAUCCCCACCUGGCCUAUUUACGUUAGUUAUUGGAAUCAGUAAUAUAAUGUCUCUAGCAUUUUGUCACCAUGGAUUCAAUUGUCUUGUAGAUUCUUCUUUGUUAGAGCUGGAAUGAUGGGAUGGCUUCUUAUAAAUCUUUCCGUUCUUGCAAAAUGUAUUCAAGAGGGCAUCUUAAGCAGAUCGAUGAUUUUUUACCAGCUUUUCUGUUUUGUAAGUGGUGAUGUUUUAAUUUUCCUGUUUUGAGUACAUUCGUGUACUUGUUAAAUUGCCUAAUACUUGUAUCUACUGGCAGCUCUAUAUUUUGGACUACUUUUUCCAUGAAGAGUACAUGACCUCCACGUAAGUGUAUUUUUUCUUUUCUUUAAACUAUGUUGUCAGCUAAUCUGGUUUAUUCAGUUUAUGUAAUUGUUGCAUCAUAUUACUAAGCUGUUCUUCAUUGGUUGAUACCAUGUGGUCAUAUUGAUUUAUAGCCAAUCCUUUUAUGUGUGAAGAACUUUCUUGUAGAACAUUUACCCAGGAAGUGGUUACUUACGGUGACCUCCUCCAUCUUCCUUUUAGAUGAACUCCUUUACUAGAAACAACACUAUUUUCCAUUUAUAGAUUUUGCAUCUAACUGUAAGGCUGGCAUAUAUUGUGAAUGGAACUAUCUACAAAGAUGUUAACUAUCCAUGCUGUUUGAACUAUGAUGCAUUGCAACUUUAUUUAUUUAUUUUGAUAAACAUUGCUUUUGUUAACUGUGUGUCCAUAUUUUCCGUUCAGCAAUGCUAAAAUGAAUCAUCACCGUUCUCGUUUAGUGUUUGAUCUGGUAUGAAGACUCACCUGAGCAUAUUCAUGUACUUAUUGUGUUUCAAGACAUUAUUUACUGUGUUAAGAGUUUGAUAAGAACCUGAAUUGAUGGAACAAACUCGUUUACCUAAGAAGAGUAAACUCAAUGGAAAUGAGUGAAUUUUAUUGAAUUGAACGUAAACUGUGACUCCAACAAACCAGAGCAUUCGAGAGGCUCUGUACUCUCCUACCAGACUCCUGAUUUUUCUCUGCUGUUAC